AGAGUUUGAUCAUGGCUCAGGACGAACGCUGGCGGCGUGCCUAAUACAUGCAAGUCGAACGCACGAAGUUGAAGAGCUUGCUCUUUAACCAAGUGAGUGGCGGACGGGUGAGUAACACGUGGGUAACCUGCCCAUUAGAGGGGGAUAACAUUCGGAAACGGAUGCUAAUACCGCAUAGUUUCAGGGAUCGCAUGAUUCUUGAAGGAAAGGUGGCUCCGGCUACCACUAAUGGAUGGACCCGCGGCGUAUUAGCUAGUUGGUGAGGUAAUGGCUCACCAAGGCAAUGAUACGUAGCCGACCUGAGAGGGUGAUCGGCCACACUGGGACUGAGACACGGCCCAGACUCCUACGGGAGGCAGCAGUAGGGAAUCUUCCGCAAUGGACGAAAGUCUGACGGAGCAACGCCGCGUGAGUGAAGAAGGUUUUCGGAUCGUAAAACUCUGUUGUUAAAGAAGAACAAGGAUGAGAGUAACUGCUCAUCCCCUGACGGUAUUUAACCAGAAAGCCACGGCUAACUACGUGCCAGCAGCCGCGGUAAUACGUAGGUGGCAAGCGUUGUCCGGAUUUAUUGGGCGUAAAGCGAGCGCAGGCGGUUCUUUAAGUCUGAUGUGAAAGCCCCCGGCUCAACCGGGGAGGGUCAUUGGAAACUGGAGAACUUGAGUGCAGAAGAGGAGAGUGGAAUUCCACGUGUAGCGGUGAAAUGCGUAGAUAUGUGGAGGAGCACCAGUGGCGAAGGCGACUCUCUGGUC
rnacentral:rRNA from 1 species